AUCGAACGCUGGCGGCAGGCCUAACACAUGCAAGUCGAACGAGUGGCGGACGGGUGAGUAAUGUCUGGGAAACUGCCUGAUGGAGGGGGAUAACUACUGGAAACGGUAGCUAAUACCGCAUACCAUCGGAUGUGCCCAGAUUGGAUUAGCUAGUAGGUGGGGUAAAGGCUAACCUAGGCGACGAUCCCUAGCUGGUCUGAGAGGAUGACCAGCCAUCGUGGAACUGAAGCAAGGUCCAGACUCCUACGGGAGGCAGCAGUGGGGAAUAUUGCACAAGGGGCGCAAGCCUGAUGCAGCCAUGCCGCGUGGAUGAAGAAGGCCGUCGGGUUGUAAAGUACUGUCGGCGGGGAGGCGUUACCCGCAGAAGAAGCACCGGCUAACUCCGUGCCAGCAGCCGCGGUAAUAC
rnacentral:rRNA from 1 species